rnacentral:rRNA from 1 species
AGUGAACGCUGGCGGUAGGCCUAACACAUGCAAGUCGAACGGCAGCACAGUAAGAGCUUGCUCUUACGGGUGGCGAGUGGCGGACGGGUGAGGAAUACAUCGGAAUCUACUUUUUCGUGGGGGAUAACGUAGGGAAACUUACGCUAAUACCGCAUACGACCUACGGGUGAAAGCAGGGGAUCUUCGGACCUUGCGCGAUUGAAUGAGCCGAUGUCGGAUUAGCUAGUUGGCGGGGUAAAGGCCCACCAAGGCGACGAUCCGUAGCUGGUCUGAGAGGAUGAUUAGCCACACUGGAACUGAGACACGGUCCAGACUCCUAAGGGAGGCAGCAGUGGGGAAUAUUGGACAAUGGGCGCAAGCCUGAUCCAGCCAUACCGCGUGGGUGAAGAAGGCCUUCGGGUUGUAAAGCCCUUUUGUUGGGAAAGAAAAGCAGCAGGUUAAUACCCCGCUGUUCUGACGGUACCCAAAGAAUAAGCACCGGCUAACUUCGUG